CUACGGGUCGCAGCAGUGAGGAAUAUUGCACAAUGGGGGGAACCCUGAUGCAGCAACGCCGCGUGGAGGAUGACGCAUUUCGGUGUGUAAACUCCUUUUAUAUGUCAAGAAAAUGACGGUAGCAUAUGAAUAAGCACCGGCUAACUCCGUGCCAGCAGCCGCGGUAAUACGGAGGGUGCAAGCGUUACUCGGAAUUACUGGGCGUAAAGGACGCGUAGGCGGGUUGAAAAGUCAGGUGUGAAAUCCUACAGCUUAACUGUAGAACUGCACUUGAAACUUCUAAUCUAGAGUAUGGGAGGGGGAGAUGGAAUUAGUGGUGUAGGGGUAAAAUCCGCAGAUAUCACUAGGAAUACCUAAAGCGAAGGCGAUCUCCUGGAACAUUACUGACGCUAAGGCGUGAAAGCGUGGGGAGCAAACAGGAUUAGAUACCCGUGUAGUC
rnacentral:rRNA from 1 species